rnacentral:rRNA from 1 species
GACCAAGGAGUCUAACAUGUGCGCGAGUCGUAGGGUUACGCUCAAAGCCCGAAGGCGCAAUGAAAGUGAAGGUCGGCCUCGAUUGCCGUUACCUAGGCGGGAUCCGUUCGGGCUUACCGGUCGUUCGCGGCUGAGCCCGGCGGCGCACCGCCGGCCCGUCUCGACCGCAUCGCCGGUGAGGCGGAGCGAGAGCGUACACGUUGGGACCCGAAAGAUGGUGAACUAUGCCCGGGCAGGACGAAGCCAGAGGAAACUCUGGUGGAGGUCCGUAGCGAUUCUGACGUGCAAAUCGAUCGUCGGACCUGGGUAUA